rnacentral:rRNA from 1 species
UACGAAGGGGGCUAGCGUUGUUCGGAAUUACUGGGCGUAAAGCGCACGUAGGCGGAUAUUUAAGUCAGGGGUGAAAUCCCGGGGCUCAACCCCGGAACUGCCUUUGAUACUGGGUAUCUCGAGUCCGAGAGAGGUGAGUGGAAUUCCGAGUGUAGAGGUGAAAUUCGUAGAUAUUCGGAGGAACACCAGUGGCGAAGGCGGCUCACUGGCUCGGUACUGACGCUGAGGCGCGAAAGCUAGGGGAGCAAACAGG